rnacentral:rRNA from 1 species
AACGAACGCUGGCGGCAGGCCUAACACAUGCAAGUCGAGCGCCCGCAAGGGAGCGGCGGACGGGUGAGUAACGCGUGGGAACGUGCCCUUUGCUACGGAAUAGCCUCGGGAAACUGAGAGUAAUACCGUAUGUGCCCUUCGGGGAAAGAUUUAUCGGCAAAGGAUCGGCCCGCGUUGGAUUAGGUAGUUGGUGGGGUAAUGGCCUACCAAGCCGACGAUCCAUAGCUGGUUUGAGAGGAUGAUCAGCCACACUGGGACUGAGACACGGCCCAGACUCCUACGGGAGGCAGCAGUGGGGAAUCUUAGACAAUGGCGCAAGCCUGAUCUAGCCAUGCCGCGUGAGCGAUGAAGGCCUUAGGGUUGUAAAGCUCUUUCGUGGGGGAAGAUAAUGACGGUACCCCAAGAAGAAGCCCCGGCUAACUCCGUGCCAGCAGCCGCGGUAAGGCGUAUGUGU